AAUGUUCCAGUGUCUUUACUGAACCCAGAAAACCCCCCAGGAGAACUUGUAGCUAUAAAAACAAGCAGAACUGAGCAGAGGCUGCCUUACCAGGUGCAUCUGGGCAGCUUGAUCUGUGAGUGGAUUGGUACACUGAUGAACUUCAUAAAAUGCAGAGUGAAAAUGUUGCACUCUAAUGAAAACUUGUGAACAGUACUUUUUUUUUUUUUAACUGAAUCAAGAUUUCCAAAGUGGAAAAGGAGACCUCCUCCAUCCUGGCUCACUUUCUGAGCUCCUCACAAGAUACAAUUAUCAGUGAACCUUGAUUUUCAUGGAACAAAGACCUAAACAGAGUGACUUCUCUCUGACUUUCAAGGAUCUUAGUCUUUCAGAUAGUGGGGAAUACUUGUGUAUUAUUUCUUCAAUCAAAUAUACCUUACUCACCAUCCAAAUGCUGCAUGUAGUAGUUUACACAAAGCAAAGCAUCAGGACCAUUGCAUCUCUGACAAAAGCAGCUUUUCAGGACCUCUCAUUCCCAAGUAAAUCCUGGCCCAUUGAAACUGGAGGAGGAUCGUCCCAUACUUACUCCCAGGAAGAGAACAGAGUUAAAAAGGAAUUACCUGGAUAA
rnacentral:lncRNA from 1 species